AUACUUACCUGGUGUCGGUUUCCCGGUGGUCAAAGGGGCCGGAAACCCGUGCGGAGGCCUGUCCAUUGCACUGCGGUGGGCUGAAGCACGCCACUACCCCAAACAGGGGUCGGUGGGGCAUGUAAUUUUUGGUAGUGGGGCUUGGCGUACGCGCCAGCCCCUC
rnacentral:snRNA from 1 species